rnacentral:lncRNA from 1 species
GUGAGCCACCGCACCCGGCCCUAUUCUGCCAUCUCUGAAGGUUUUAGAAGGAAGAUAGACAAGGAUUGAAUAUAAAAUAGAUAUACCAUAGGUAACGUAUACCAGAAAGGUUCCUCCUUGUCCCUAAAUGUAGCUUAUGAGGGUAGAAAGUUUCCAGUUCCUCUCUACUUAUAUCCUAGAAAUUCUUCAAUAAAGGAAACCUUUAUAAAGGUGCUUCUGAAAAAUGUAAACACCUUGGAAUGACUUAUCAGGAGCCCAUCAUCAUGCUCAAGAAAGAUAAAUAUUAAGAAGGAAUAUAAAUGUAUAAAAACAUUAGACAGGAGAGAUGGGGCUUAGGGUCAACACAGAGGUCACCAGAAAAAGAGAAGAAAGAUAUAGGUACAGAGAGGGAGGUAAAAUAUGAAAGAAACUCCCUGUUACCUAACAACAUUCCCACAACAAGCCUGGAUAGUAUGCCAGAGAAUGAAAUAAAGGAGUACAAUUCAUGGACUUUAUGAUAGCUUUUUUCAGUUGAUGUGAAGAUCUGUGGACUUCCUUCCAGAAGGCAGAAGAUUACUGGCAUACUGCCAAGGCAAAGUCAUUGUACCUACACUAGUUUCUGCAAAUUGGAACAUAAUAAAUUCUCAAUGACCCAUGAUCUGAUUCUUAACAGGGACUAAUAAAGAAUAAGUAAAGAGUACUUUGUUGACAAGUUUUCCCUUACUUUCCUUUUCCACCAUUCUUACAUCUAGUCUGCCCUGUGCACCAAAGCACUUAUUUCUCCAUUGCAGGAGUUGUGAAGCAGAACCACAGGAAGGCAGCUCAACCAGGGGGAUCCUGUUGCUUACCUCCAGUACGUGAGGGGGUGGCAAGGACUCUGGCCCCACGGCAAGAAGACCAACCCUACUGAAGAAUUCUCUACAUAUGGACCAUGAUAUGCAGCUAGAAAUCACCAAGCAGAGAUGUUCCAAGUAUCAAUUUUGUGACAGGAGUAUUUAGAAGAGAAGCAUCAUGAUGCUUGCAUCUUACAUUCAAGUGGUUUGACAAAAACAUCGACAUUAAUUCCUUGAGUUUCUUUUCUACAAAAGCACUGGCUAUUAAUUCUGAAACAACUUUCUGUGUAUUCUAAAAAGGCUCAAAUAAAUACGUUGCAGAUAAAUGAAGCCACUUUUCUCACUGUUGAAGAAGAAAAUUACAGAUAUGAAAACAGACAGGGUCUGCUCUGUUGGCCAGGCUGGAGCGCAGUGUCACAAUGUCUACUCACUGCAGGCUCUACCUCCUGGGCUCAAGCGAUUCUCACACCUCAGCCUCAAGAAUGGCUCAGACUACAGGCAUGUACCUCUGU